GCAUAUAAACCAUACAGCUCCGAUUUCGGAGUCCCGGGCAGGUAGUGGUUAAAGCAGCUGUCAACGCCCAGCAAAUGCACUCUGAGUCAUUCUUGUUUUGAACAUUAACGAUUGCUUUCUUGUGUGCCUGUUCUUUGGGCAACGGAAUGGAAGUCGCUCCCACAGGUUUAUACUCGACCACGUUGAUGUAAAACGCAAUGACUUGGUAAAAAAAACCAGCCUGAGCCUCUCUGUUUGUGAGCUUCGACUUCUUCAAGAUGUUUUGCUAUUUGUUCCUUCAAAACACGCAUUAUGUCCGGUUUAGAAAUCACCAUGUUAUUCUUGCUCGUAAAUGUGAAAACGCCAAAUUUUGUUUCGACUCUGGGCUUUUCCAUUUUGAACUUAACCUUUAUUGCUGUCUGCAACUUGUAAGAGUUUAACUCUUUAAACUCUGCCAACACUUGGCCUUCGAUAUACUUUUUAUAAAAGUCAAAAAAAGGUAUCAAGUCGUCGGCAAAGAAAGUAGGCUCUAGUUCCCAGUUUCUGUAGUUACCUUGAAAUCGCCGGAUUCUUCGGAUGUUUACCUCUUCGAUCACUUCUGGUUUAAUGUGUGAUCUAAUUGCGGCGAUUAUGUCUUUUCGUAGUACAUUGCCUUUUGUGCCUGGCCGUAGAGGGUAUGUCGUUAUCUUGUGCUAUUUGUAAGAGCUGACGGUAUGAUUGGCAUGUAAGAUUUCUAAAUUGUUGUUGGCCCGCUUGAAUUCCUUUUAUGAGUUCAGAUUUAGAAUGUUUUCUACGUUUAGCUGGUGAUAAUGAAAUGUUGUAUCGUUUGACAAAGUCAGAUAAAAAUGUUUUUUUCAAUCGUCUAAAGUCCAUUCAGAAAGGACGGCGUUGUGAUUUCUGUGGUGUUUUCAUGUCUCUAUAUAUAGGUAAAUAUUUAUUUUUUUUUCAGUUUUUCUCAGAGCUUCAGUUCUUUUGUUUGACAUCUCUAUUUAAAAAAAACUAUUUACUUAAGCCAGUAGUGAAUUUAUUUCAUUUUCCCUCAAAGCAUCGGGUGAGCACAGUUUUAACCGAGACUGGGGAAGUCCCGGGAAUUCCCUUUUUGGUUUGGGGAUAAUGAGGUCUGGGGGAAGUCCCUUUUUUGGUUUGGGGGGCUGCUGGGAGGGGUCAAAGGUCAUUGAGGUCAAACGUCACGGGGUUGUUUGGGUUGGGGAGGUGAGGGGGAAAGUCCCCAUUUUGAUUUGGGAUGCCUCUUUCUGCUUUUUUGACCUGGUUUUAAAAAGAGCGAAAACUGUCAAUGAGGUAUAGGAGGGUUUUUUACGAAAAUGAAAAGUGGUUUUAGAGAGCUGGUGUUUUGGAGGGUUUUUGAAAAAGGUCAAUGAGGUAUACGGGGGGUUUCAGUCGAUGAGGUCAUCGAGGGUUUGAGGAAAAGAGUGAAAAGGAGGCUGAUCCAGAACUUGCUUUGGCAUUACUACUGCAUCCUAUGCAUCCAUAAAUAGUUGGACGCCGUUUGCAUAGUGACAUGGCGUGCAUAAAUACCUCUGCAGUGUGACACAUUGAAAAUCUUUGCCUGGCUUCCCAAGCAACAAUGAACAGAUUAUGUGUACAGUGUAAUUGUACAUGUUGUUAUCAUACGCAAGCUGUCAACUUGUCGUCCUGCAUGCUUCUGACAUUUGUUAUACACCAUGGCCUCUAACGAUCCUGGCGGUCAUCUUCCUGGCUUUGUCUAUUUGCUGAAACUCCACAGGCAGUACACGAGCACCAUUUCAAGCCAUAGAAAACAAGAAAGAUCAACAUAACAAGCGGAAAAACCCGGGUCCGGAAUCAACUGAAGCUUAAAGAAAGAGAGGAAGGCCGUCAGUUGCCCAGCUGUUUCCCGAGGCCAUAGAAACAAUAAGGAAGUUCAUCGAAGAAAACGGGUUUGAAGCGCACAGGCAUCGGGAAACAGGAACUGGGAAAUGCGACUCUAUCUACCUGCCAUUCCAUCAAGAAACACCUGAUGGAAGUGAUACCUGACCUCGCCAAGUUAAGGCCAAAUUUGGGAGUUGACACGAUCCACCGUUGGAUGAAGGCUCCGUCUAUGAACUCUGGUGCUGCCAAGAACUACAAAGGGCUCAUUGACGCAAAGAUUCCUGCCAAGCGAAAUGACAAGAGAAGGGAGAAUAUAAAUGAGCACUACUAUUUGGCGAGAGUCAAGUAUGCGCGUGAGGCAUGCCGCAGGUUUGCAGAGUCUGGGGUGAUGUUCUCCAUAGACAACAAACAUAUAAGCUGAGGGUGAGCUCCUGCACGACAGCUGUUGACAGAAGAUGCAGCGUAACAAGAUACUUCCCAACCAGUGAUGCACCAAACUUGUAUGACCAGGACUUCCCGACUCCGUGCUACCUCAUCACCCCAUUGGGGUACAAGAUGCAGCGUAACAAGAUACUUCCCAACGAGCGAUGCACCAAACUUGUAUCACCGGGACUUUCCGACUCCGGGCCACCUCAUAACCCCAUCGUGGUACAUGGAAAUGUUACCCCCGUCCCCAGCCGAGAUCACAGUUGACAACCUUGGCAGACAGUGCUACUGGUAUUUAGAGUUUAGGUUCCUCAUGAGAAAUUGGCCUUCCUGAAUGCAGUGCCAUCAACGUUGUCAACAGGGGGCCACACACCAAAGUCACGCUCGCCAGUCAUUGCAAUGACUUGUUCACGCUGAUACACAACAGCAAGAAAACUGCGUCACGAUACUUGCAGAUGGUGGGUCCGAGUUCAAUGUCAACCAUGUGACAAAUGACUGGUUUGUGAUGAGACUCUUCAAGAACCUGAACCUCGAUGUUCUGCUAGGUACAGCAUACUGUCGAGGAUUUUCAGCAAGAAAUCCCAUCGAGCAUGUGUGGGGCGUCCUCACUAUGUAUGGCCUUAAACCUAAUGUCCUCCGUUAGUGCCCUCUUGUACACGCGGUCGCCUCCUGGUCUCAGCACAACCCCCCGUUGAAGUUGGCCAUUGGCUGCUUAGUCUCACUGAAGAUUGCGGACAUCAGCUGAGGACUAGGGACUGUCCACUUGAUGCACAAAAGAAACAGCCUUCAGAGUCCCCAUGCUGCAUUUCAAUCGACGAAUGUUCAUUACCUAAAGUGACAAAGUAUUCAGUACACUUGAGCACCGAGGGUUCACGGGCAACAGCAGUAGCGGCUCUCUCAGACACCAGAUCACCAAUCAUGUUGCACAAUGCAUCCACAGUACCCCUCAGACUGUUGAUAUGUUGGAUGAGGCGACCCUGCUUGGUCUCGAUGGAUAUCAAAUGCACCAGGAUGUCCUGUUGGUUGCAACCAAGGGGCAUGGACAGCAGAGUUGACAGGCCAGAUAUGUCAACUGGAGAGGCCUCAGCAGGUGGAGAAGGUGGCUGGAUGUACGAUGCAGGAGAUGAUGACCCUUCAAUGGCGGCACAGGUGUCCAGUGGUAACGGUACUUCGGGUGCAGGUGCUGGGUAUUCGGCCAAAAUGUUGUCUGUUGGGGAUGACGAACAAUCGAUGACCACGCAGGUUUACAUCACCGGGGUCGUUUGGGUUGCUGACGCUGCUUGAUGUUCUGCCCCGACACUGCUUGCCAGAGGUGACAAACCCUAGGUGACAGCGCAGGUAUGCAGUGAUGGUGGAACAGUCGGUCAAUUUUACGUUGCCACCUAAUUGAUGUGUGUUAUUUACAAAUGAGGACUUGGACCAGUCAAGUGAUGAUGGAGCAAUCUUAUCUUAUCCACACGAAGAACUAAUCAACAAGAAUCUCCCUGAGGAAGGUAGACGGGCCAACUCUUCCCGCUGGUUUAGCACAUCAUCAUCCUCAAAAUGCUGCUAACUUACAUGUAGCUUCAACUUCAACUUAGCCUCAACAAAUUGAUCACCAUCUUGAUGAUGAGAUGACAGUGAUGUAUUCCCUGGCAACCAGAAACUAGUCAGCUAGAACUACCUAAAGAGAGGCUGUGUCAUAGACCCCUUGCAGCUGGUACUCGAUGGUAAUGGUUCCUUUAACAAGGCAGUGUGGUACUUGCAAUCCCUCUAUUGUUUGACAGCUCUUUCUUUAAAAAAAACAAAAGAUCCUGCAAUACACGAAACUGAUGACUUUUGAGACACUUGGAAACCAUAAACAGCAAAUAUUCUGGUCCUUUUUUAUUGUUUGCCUCACGUUUGAGCUAAAUGCAUGUAUGCUCCAGAUGGAACAACAAAACAGAUAAACAAAAUGAAAAUAAAUAAAGAAGGAAAAGGAACCAUUGUGUUUGCCACCUCCAAGCUCCUCAGAAGUCUUCAAGUAGUAAAGUCAGAAAUCUCGGGUUUUCAAAAAUGUAUUGUUUGGAAUUAAAGGAUCUUUGCAAUGCAGGUUUUUACCACAACCCUUGAAAAUGUGUCUUUUUGACUCAAUGAACCUUAUCACCAAAACCUUGUUUUCACUUUUGAGUGUGCUAGGUAUUUUGUUGAGUAGGAUGUGGAGAAUUUCCCACAAGUUUGAAUUUUAAGUUCUGAAUGGGCUCGAAUGAUGUUCUCGCAAUGUUUAGAACCUACCACAUUGGGGAAAUUUUUUUUUUAAUCUUAAAAACCACUGAGUCAUUGUUAACUGCACUUUUAUUGUUUUUUUUGUCAGAUGGUAUACUCUUUGGAAUAUGGUUUUUGGCAUCCAGGCCUGAUUUUCCAAGGACUGAGUCAAAGAUAUAUGUGGUAUUUUUAGUAUUUAGCAUGUGUCCCUUUAAAGAAUGACUCUACCUCCUUCAAAUAAACAAGCCCAAUUAUUCCUGCCAAAGGUUUGAUUUCAUACCUGACCUGUUUUUAGUCAGUAGCCUGGGAAUAUGUUGUCAUCAUAGCAGCACAUUCAAGGCCACACCGGAGCAUGCUAGUACAUUCAAUCUGCAAGUGCUCUGUACCGACUGAAUAGAUUGUGCAGGCCUUCUUACUGGUUGUACUGCCCACGAUGGCUCCACCUGCUGAGAGAACCAGAUCUGCUACAAGCCAUGUUAUUUUGGAUAUCCGUCAGAAUUUGUUGGAAAUCAUGUUCUGCCCACGAGAUUGGACUGCUGUCAUUGAGUUCUGAGUUUAAGAUGAGUAAAACUGAGUUCUGGUGAAGUGAAGCAUUCCCAACAGAUCAACCUCGGAGUGAGAGAGAUUUAUACUGGAGUGGCAACUGAAGUGAUUGUAAUUUGGCAACGUCUCAGGCAGAUGCAGGGGCAUAGAACAUUAGGAAGUGGUACAAACAGAGAGUAAAAUUCAGCUAUAUGUCUGAAGCUGUGACAUUCAAGAUUAAGAGAUUCAAGGAGUAUCAGCCUAGUCUUCAAAAUAUUCUACUCAUCUGCACAUGUAAAUGCAAAACUUUCAAUCACUCUGAGUGCAGAGACAACUGUACAACCCAUCCCAGAGACAGCAAACCAGACCGCAAUUGUGUCCAUUAAAACUGUGAUUAUCACGAAAACAAGGUUCCAGAAAGAGAAUUCGGAAGAAACAAAGAGGAAAAAGAGAGAGAAAAUAUGAACCUGAAAAAUUGGUUCACAAAACAACCCCAAAAGGAACCUGUGAGGGAGUGAGAUGGUUGAGACUGAGGGCAGUGAUGUUGAAUUCGAGUCCCACCAUCAUGUGAAAACACAGAAACCUCUGCCAACACUAGCCCAAGUUUGUGCCCGGUAUGGAUUCAUUUACAGAGCUGGAGAAACUACUGCAACUGUAACACUCACUGAUUUCAACGUUGUAUCCAAAGAUGACAAACAGUAAGAGUUGAUCAUCACAAACUGGCAAGGGAAAGGAACGUCUUCGACGACAAAUACAACAUGAAGAAGAAUCUGGUUGGAAGGAGAAUAUCAGUAAUAUAUACAUAUGGUUGGUAACAGAGUCUACUCAAGGUCAGUCAUUGAAGACCAUUAUUGCAGAGCCAGGGGCAUAAUUGCAGCAUGUUACCCGGAAGUGAGCAAGAGGUUCUACUUUCAAAUAACUUACCAGACAAAAUAAUGGCUGUAAUGUCAGUGUUGGAAGGCAGGCAGGUGCCACCCAUCAGCAUGACUACUGCAAAGGCAGAUGCAUGUUGCAGGGCAAUGAAUUACCAUUCAGAGCACUCUUUACCCUCGUCUGUGAUGGUCAAACUUCAGGCACGUAGUCAUUCAGUGGACUGUUAGGGAAAAGAUUGCAGGAAUGGCUGUGCUCACAUGGAGUGGUUGAUUUUGGACAAAUCCCAGCUUCUCACUGUCCUUUUUUUGCCUCCUGAUGACAUCGUGGAAGGUCUUAGGAUCAGCAUCUUCUGCAUAGACUAGCUGUGCCAGGCAGUCAUCAGAGGAAACCUACUGGAGAAGAUGACCUCGGACUCUUGGAGUCAGUUCCUGUGUCCUGGUCCUAUUCCCCAUGCUUGAGCUCAGAGAAUGUUAUGCCUUUUGUAGGAGGCAAGCAUCACUCUCUUAAAACUUCUGUUGUGGUCAAGUUGGAUGCCCCAUGCAAUCACCAUCAAACAUUACUCACUUCAUACUGAUGGGCACAAGACCGUUUUGUCGUGUUGACUCUGUUGACAAGCCUUAAUGAGAAAUAUCUGUAGAAGCAGGUUGCCAAAAAGCCAUUCAGUGCAGUGCUUUCUAUGCUCAUCCAGAGAACCUACUGCUGUCUGUUUCUGAUAGUGAACCCUAAGAUUCCAGAGGGGGCCCUACUCCAAGUCAUGGAGAUUCGUAAUGAAGUAGGCUCUGAGUCAACAAGUUGCACCAUUACAGGCCAGGAGAAGAGAACCUUGAUUGUGUGGAUGUUAAGGGGGAACAGUGAUAAGGAAGUGGAGAUAUGGUAGAGUAUGAUGAAUUUCUAUGGGCUACACCCAUAGGUCCUUCAGUUUGCCCAUGGUACAAUUCUAUGCAACCUCGUACUGUCUGAUGAUUGACUUGAACAAGGAAGUACUAACCGAACCACCAUCGAUAAAAAAGAGAUAAAAAUCAAAUGAGGAACUUCAAGAAAUGAAGUACAACCCUGUUUUGUGCCAGUAUAUCCAUGUCAACACACAGUCAGUAGAGCGAGCAUUCAAAUUUGUAUCAGAGGCCUGUCAGGCGGUGCAUGGAAUGGAUUUUUCAGACAGAGACUGUCUUUAAGAUAGUGAAUGAAAACAAAGCAGGACUUAUAGGCAUGCUUACGUAAGGCAUGUAAUGAGUGUUUCCCACUCUCUUUGAUGUCCUCUAUACACUGUUCUUUUUGUGGAUGCAAUGCUAUUUUUCUCACCGUAUCCUGGCAACAAGAUAUCUAAUUAAAUGCCCUACAUGAUGAAACUGUAUUAGAGUAUUUCAUUUUAUUAACUGCUUUCAAAAAUGGCAACAACGAGAGAAAACUCCGCAAAAAAAACCAACUUAAGCUAAAAGCACAGAGGGAAAGAAAAAAUGAGAUGUUCUGUGUCUGUAACAGAACAGGGCUUUUUUGCAUUUCUAAGCUUUUAUUAAAAAAUGUUUCAACCGAAUGGGACAUGUACUUAAAGAGAUAUAGGUUUCUAAAUGAUAAAUCACGUGACUUGCCACGUGAUGACGUUUAUGAUCACAUGAUGUUAAUUUUCGUCUGUAGCACUUCCCUUUAUGUCUAUCUGCAAAGUGUCAACCCAGGAUAUAUAAUUCAGGUUUGCACCUGAAAGGCCAUAUCACGACACGAGAAGACGUCAUAAAGAUUCUUGUCUUGGAUCCAGUACUGUAGCUGGUGGAUUACUGUAGAGUGAGCAAGUAAUGUAUAGUCAGUCAGAUCGACAAGUGCCAAAAUUUGGCUGUUGGGGAAAUGUGUACGAAACACAUAGGGAAAAAUUAAAUAUUCGACAUUCUAUAAUAAAUCGGGUGAUGACGUCAUCAUGACCUCAUACUUCCAGAAUCAUCUAUGCUACUCGGUCACUGCUUGGGGUAACUUUGAUGAAAAUACGAACCAGCAAAGGGACUAAAGUCCUGAGUAGAAAAACCCUGUACAAAAUGAAUGGGAUUUUGGAAGAACCAGAAGAAACUAGAUUCGUUGUCUGUCGUUUUGACAGAACAACUGGCUUGUGCAUAUUUCAAGAGCUUGAGGGCUGUUUAUUAUUGUUGAAAUUUGAAAAUUGCAUGUGAGCUGUAGUUAGUUGUGAUUCACAUCCAUCACCAAUUUUGAAUUGUAAGCCACUUCUGGUUUCAACCUGAGCCAAGGGUCACGUGACUUUACGCACACGAGAUAAAAAUAAGAUCUUAAUUCACCUACAGCAUAACGCAAACAGCAAGUCGUAGGAAAUCACAGCUGAUUGUGUGUACAAAGUGAACAGGAUUUUGAGAAUAGGAAGAAAUGAAAAGAUGGAUUUGUUUUUUGCAAAUGCAAAAUAGCCAAUAAAAAAAUUGCUUAACCAUAGCUCUGCAUUUUUUAAGAAAAAAAUUGUUAGUUUUUAAAAUUUUUGUAUUCGCUGUGGUAGGUCUUAAAUAUAAGGGGAACAUUAUUCUAUCCCAUUCAGAACUAAAAAUGUAAACUUUCUGGAAAUUCACUACAUCUCACUAAUGAGUAUUUCUACAUUCAUGAGGAAAACUGUUACUGUUGCAGGGCGUGUGCACAAGCGACUGUUGGAUUUUAUUUUGCCGGUCAAAAUUACCUUUUUGUUUCUUUGUUUAUUCAUCUUUAAAGUACAUGGCAAUAUGCCAACAAGUAGCUCUUUUCAGAAACUUUUUUUUAUCGAACAUGAAAAAAUCAUGUGAACAAAAAACCGAUGAUAACCAGUGGAAACCAGCGUCUUGGUUACAGCAGCCCAGUUGUCCAGAAAAGCAUAGACCAUUUUUGAAUCGUUUGUUAAAGGUGCAAUGUUUUUUAACACACUCAUUCCAAAAGGGAUGUAGAGGUGUCAUACACAGAAAAGAGUGUAGAGUAACAAUAAGGUGUAUCUCAGAAAUAGUCAUCGUUUGGCUCCGUUAAUUUUAAGGAACAUUCUAAUACAAAUUCAGAUUACAUCACCAAUGUAGCGUAUGUUUUGAUGAAAAAGUCAACAUCCUUUAGGUUUCUAAAAAGGUUGAAAGUUUAAUCGUCAAAUUAAAUCUAAAAACUGAAAUUUACAGUUUCAGAUUAUGAAUGAAUAUUAGGUUGCUUUUCCCUCAGUUUUUCAGACAUAAUACACCCUUAUCAUUUUAUACGUUUAAAAUUAGUUUAAAGUACCUUUAAUGUACCUUCUCGUACGCAUAUUUUGAGUUAGUUUUACUUACUGAAAUCUGCCGUCUUUCUGGCUCAGUCUGAUGAGUUUUUAGCAUAUUGUUUAAAGGUAUUGUUUUGUAUGUUAAGAAAGAAAUUUCUCUACCGUUUUUUCCGAUCAAUAAUGCGGGACGAACUAGUUUUCAGAUGUCAUUUAAGUUCAGCAGAUUUAAGAGCUAUUGGCUUGAGAAAUCAAAACCUAUAUGUUACCCCCCUUCCUCGCAAAAAGUACACUCUCCAGGAGCAAGGCGUAUAAUUGUCGUUUGAACCGUAAACACAAGGGUUUUUUUGUUUAAUAUUUUUGACGGUCUUGUCUUCGCGUAUGUUACGCGUUAGCUUUGUUUUAUAAACGUUCAACUCGAAUAGUCUGUCGCAAGAACAAAGCAAUAGUUUACAUGUACUUUCGUUCCGUUCUUGUGUUGGCAUUUUUUAAUUGCCCAACGCAGGCUCUGCCCCUGAUAAUAUUUCAGCAAGGUUUAAUUGAAUCUAGAGGAUGCUUUGAGCUUGUAAAAGCAUUCUAUAUUUUGUUUUGCUCUACGUUGUUCAUGAAAAAGAAAAUAACACCCGAAGUGUAUUCCAAAAAUAAUGAAGUGUAAUAAACUGUCAAAACGAAAAGUUUACAACCUGCGUUUGAAGGGCAAUAUUUUGUCCAUGGGAAACCAUUGAUAUUGAAACUUGGUCGUUAAUUUAUAUGACUGAUUUGUAGUGCAGGUCCCACUUUUGAUCUCAACCUCCUUGACCAAUCCAAGACUGCUCAAAUUGGAGAAAUUGGCGCCCUUUUAAAUUCCAAUAUAUGGGCUUAAAGUUACCAUUAGAAAGAGUUUCUACCGUAAAUGUUUGGCGCAUUGUGGAGGUGCUGUACUUGAAAGUGUGAAAAUUCAGAUUGAGGAA
rnacentral:misc_RNA from 1 species